rnacentral:lncRNA from 1 species
AUGAUAGGAUCACCACAAACAUUUUUCUAUUCUUGAAAAUACGUUGAGAACAAUUAUAAAUGUAUUAACAAAUAUUUUAUACAUUCCAAGUUUUAUUUUAAAAUUUUACUAUUUUAUAAUUUAGCCCCCGGUAAACUAUUUUUCUAGAUCCGCCACUGUUAUUGUAAAGGAGUAAAUAACCUUGCAAUUGGAACACUCAGCUCUUUGCAUCAAUUUUUCUUGAAACUCAAAAGUACUAAAAUUUCAAUUGCUUCUUGUUCUUAGUUAGGGUUCUCCGUGGAAACUGCUUCUUGUAUGAAUAACAAAUGGCAAUGGCUAUGUCGGAGAUGAUUUACCAUGGAACACUCCUUCAUAACCACACGAUCAUAGUGAGAAAUAGUAAAAAAAACACGUUAUAAUUUUGAUCAUGUUGUCAUAAAGUGUUUAGUAAACACUAGUUGCUGUAACUUGUAAGCUAUAUUUAUAUGAUUUUCACUUGUAUAAUAA